GGAGGGAUGGCCGAGUGGUUUAAGGCGGCGGCCUUGAAAGCCGUUGUACCCGCAAGGGUACCGUGGGUUCGAAUCCUACUCCCUCCG
rnacentral:tRNA from 1 species